UACGGAGGGUGCGAGCGUUGUCCGGAAUCACUGGGCGUAAAGGGCGCGUAGGCGGCCUGAUAAGUAGGGGGUGAAAUCCUGCGGCUUAACCGCAGGGCUGCCUUCUAAACUGUCAGGCUCGAGCACAGUAGAGGCAGGUGGAAUUCCCGGUGUAGCGGUGGAAUGCGUAGAGAUCGGGAAGAACAUCAGUGGCGAAGGCGACUACCUGGCCUGUUCUUGACGCUGAGGCGCGAAAGCCAGGGGAGCAAACGGG
rnacentral:rRNA from 1 species